rnacentral:rRNA from 1 species
GUCAACGAUCAUACCACGUGGAAAGCACCGGUUCUCGUCCGAUCACUGAAGUUAAACUACGUCGGGCCGGGUUAGUACUUGCAUGGGUGACCGGCUGGGAAUAAGCGGUGUUGCCAACA